rnacentral:rRNA from 1 species
UCGCCUUUUGGUUAAAGUAGAAGGUCUAACCUGCCCACUGAAAAAUUAAAGGGCCGCGGUAUAUUGACCGUGCAAAGGUAGCAUAAUCAUUAGUCUUCUAAUUAAAGGCUGGAAUGAAUGGUUGGACGAGGUGUUGACUGUCUCAGUAAAAUUAAAUUAGAAUUUAACUUUUUAGUCAAAAGGCUAAAAUAGAAUUGGAGGACGAGAAGACCCUAUAGAGCUUUAUAUUUGGAAAAUUUAAUUAAUUUAGUAGGAUUUUAAUUAAAUUAUAAAAGUAUUUCGUUGGGGUGACGGGGAGAUAAAAAUAACUCUCUUUAAAGUUUGUCAUUGAUGUAUGAUUAUUUGAUCCAUUUUUAAUGAUUAUAAGACUAAGUUACCUUAGGGAUAACAGCGUAAUCUUUUUCGAGAGUUCUUAUCGACAAAAAGGGUUGCGACCUCGAUGUUGGAUUAAGGAUUAUUUUUGGGUGUAGAAGUUCAAAGUUUAGGUCUGUUCGACCUUUGAAUCCUUACAU